AUUGAACGCUGGCGGCAGGCUUAACACAUGCAAGUCGAGCGAGCGGCGGACGGGUGAGUAAUGUCUGGGAAACUGCCUGAUGGAGGGGGAUAACUACUGGAAACGGUAGCUAAUACCGCAUACCAUCAGAUGUGCCCAGAUGGGAUUAGCUAGUAGGUGGGGUAAUGGCUCACCUAGGCGACGAUCCCUAGCUGGUCUGAGAGGAUGACGAGGCACACUGGAACGGAGACACGGUCAAGAAUGCUAGGGGAGGCAGCAGUGGGGAAUAUUGCAAAAUGGGCGCAAGACUGAUGGAGCCAUGCCGCGUGUGUGAAGAAGGACGUAGGGUGGUAAAGCACUUUCAGCGAGGAGGCGUUACUCGCAGAAGAAGCACCGGCUAAAGCCGUGCCAGCAGCCGCGGUAAUUC
rnacentral:rRNA from 1 species